UGCCAGCCGCCGCGGUAAUACGGAGGGUGCGAGCGUUAAUCGGAAUUACUGGGCGUAAAGCGCACGUAGGCGGUUUGUUAAGCUGGAUGUGAAAGCCCCGGGCUCAACCUGGGAAUUGCACUCAGAACUGGCAGACUAGAGUACGGUAGAGGUGAGUGGAAUUUCCUGUGUAGCGGUGAAAUGCGUAGAUAUAGGAAGGAACAUCAGUGGCGAAGGCGACUCACUGGACUGGUACUGACGCUGAGGUGCGAAAGCGUGGGGAGCAAACAGGAUUAGAUA
rnacentral:rRNA from 1 species